AUUGAACGCUGGCGGCAGGCCUAACACAUGCAAGUCGAGCGAGCGGCGGACGGGGGAGUAAUGUGUGGGAGACUGCCCGAUGGGGGGGGGGAACAACUGGAAAAGGUAGAUAAAACCGCAUACGACAUGAGGUGCCCCGAUGGGAUUAGCUAGUAGGUGGGGUAAUGGCUCACCUAGGCGACGAUCCCUAGCUGGUCUGAGAGGAUGACCAGCCACACUGGAACUGAGACACGGUCCAGACUCCUACGGGAGGCAGCAGUGGGGAAUAUUGCACAAUGGGCGCAAGCCUGAUGCAGCCAUGCCGCGUGUAUGAAGAAGGCCUUCGGGUUGUAAAGUACUUUCAGCGAGGAGGUGUUACUCGCAGAAGAAGCACCGGCUAACUCCGUGCCAGCAGCCGCGGUAAUUC
rnacentral:rRNA from 1 species